AUCGAACGCUGGCGGCAGGCCUAACACAUGCAAGUCGAGCGGAUGAAGGGAGCUUGCUCCUGGAUUCAGCGGCGGACGGGUGAGUAAUGCCUAGGAAUCUGCCUGGUAGUGGGGGAUAACGUCCGGAAACGGGCGCUAAUACCGCAUACGUCCUGUGGGAGCAAGUGGGGGAUCUAAAGAUGGGACGCUAUGGGAUGAGCGUAGGUUGCAUUAGAUAGGUCGUAGGGUAAAGGCGUAUCAAGGCGACGAUACGUAACUGGUCAGAGAGGAUGGGCAGUCACACCGAGAGUGAGACACGGUCGAGAAUCUUACGGGAGGAAGGAGUGGCGAAUACUGGCAAGUGGGGGAUAGGAUGAUGCAGCACGGACGCGUGAGCGAUGUAGGUUUGAGGGAUGGACAGCAAUUUUAUACCUGACUAUAAUGACAGUACCGGCAGAAUAAGCACCGGCUAACUUCGUG
rnacentral:rRNA from 1 species